rnacentral:tRNA from 1 species
AGUAAAGAAGUAAUUAUUACACUUAGUUUCGACCUAACUAUAGGGGAUAAUUAUCCCCCUUACUU